AUUGAACGCUGGCGGCAGGCCUAACACAUGCAAGUCGAACGAGUGGCGGACGGGUGAGUAAUGUCUGGUAAACUGCCUGAUGGCGGGGGAUAAAUACUGGAAACGGUAGCUAAUACCGCAUAACAUCGCAUGUGCCCAGAUGGGAUUGGAUAGUAGGUGGGGUAAAGGCUCACCUAGUCGACGCUCCCUAGCUGGUCGUAGAGGAUGACCAGACCCACUGGAACUGAGACACGGUCCAGACUCCGACGUGAGGCAGCAGUGGGGAAUAUUGCACAAUGGGCGUAAGCCUGAUGCAGCCAUGCCGCGUGUAUGAAGAAGGCCUUCGGGUUGUAAAGUACUUUCAGCGGGGAGGCGUUACCCGCAGAAGAAGCACCGGCUAACUCCGUGCCAGCAGCCGCGGUAAUUC
rnacentral:rRNA from 1 species